rnacentral:rRNA from 1 species
GAUGAACGCUGGCGGCGUGCCUAAUACAUGCAAGUCGAGCGAACAGAUAAGGAGCUUGCUCCUUUGACGUUAGCGGCGGACGGGUGAGUAACACGUGGGUAACCUACCUAUAAGACUGGAAUAACUCCGGGAAACCGGGGCUAAUGCCGGAUAACAUUUAGAACCGCAUGGUUCUAAAGUGAAAGAUGGUUUUGCUAUCACUUAUAGAUGGACCCGCGCCGUAUUAGCUAGUUGGUAAGGUAACGGCUUACCAAGGCAACGAUACGUAGCCGACCUGAGAGGGUGAUCGGCCACACUGGAACUGAGACACGGUCCAGACUCCUACGGGAGGCAGCAGUAGGGAAUCUUCCGCAAAGGGCGAAAGCCUGACGGAGCAACGCCGCGUGAGUGAUGAAGGUCUUCGGAUCGUAAAACUCUGUUAUUAGGGAAGAACAAAUGUGUAAGUAACUGUGCACGUCCUGACGGUACCUAAUCAGAAAGCCACGGCUAACUACGUG